rnacentral:rRNA from 1 species
UACGUAGGGUGCAAGCGUUGUCCGGAAUUAUUGGGCGUAAAGAGCUCGUAGGCGGUUCGUCGCGUCGGAUGUGAAAGCCCUCGGCUCAACUGAGGAAGUGCACCCGAAACUGGCGAGCUUGAGUACGAAAGAGGAUCGCGGAAUUCCCGGUGUAGAGGUGAAAUUCGUAGAUAUCGGGAGGAACACCGGUGGCGAAGGCGGCGAUCUGGGUCGAUACUGACGCUGAGGUGCGAAAGCGUGGGGAGCAAACAGG